AAGCAAUCAUUUUUAAAGUUCAUUUUUAAAGUACAAAAACCCACCCACUUUUGCAAAUCAGACUCUGUGUUUUUAAUCAGACAGUUGAAACUAGGGCAGUUGACAGUUGGGGCGCUUGAUUUGCUAAACGAAAUCUCUCAGUCUUGUGAAGUGGGAACCAUGUGACCCUCUGACUCAGGUUUUGUGUUCUUCCUAGUGGAAGGAGCCUUGGAGAGGCCAGGCCUCCCCGGACUGCUAGCGUGCUUUUCCUGGGGUCCCUGGAGCCGGAGGAAGAACCAGGAUGUUGCUGCCUGCAGAAGCUCAGCUCAGGAAGACUUCCAGGAACCUGAGGAGGAGCUGGCACUAACAGCCAUAUUUCCCAAUGGAGACUGUGAUGACCUUGGAAGGGGGUCAAAAGCCUGUGAUGGAGUCGUACACACUCCUGCUGAGCCCACCGGAGACUCAAGAUGAAGGCUGGACCCUUGCGCUGUCCCUGGCUCUAACCUACAGACUGGGGCCUGGCUCCGUCUUACCGGCCCCCAGGUCUCCAUGGAGACUGCAGAAACCCCCGCCUGCUGGAGGCCUGCCACACUCACAGUUACCAGCUAGACAGUGGGGCUUACUAAGACAAGCAGGACCUAAAACAGUGUCUCCCCUGGGAACCUACUCCCCACCCAGCAUUUGCUAAGCCUGAUCACAGGGAGGUUAUUUUGUCUGUCUGUCUCGGUUUCUCUGAGCCACUGAGAUGGAUGGCUCUCCGCUUUGAGGCUCUGCAGAGCUGUGGCACCCCAUGGUGUGUCUGCAGUGUUCUGGGCACAUGCAUGGGCACCCAUCGUUGAGAGUGCAGCUGGGAAGAACUCUGAACCAGAAGUCAUCAGAGCUGAGGCAUGGCCUUGAACAUGUCACUCAGUCUCUGGGGCUUCUGUUUCACAAAUGCAUGAGGGGGCCACCAGCCCAGUGGCUUUAAACCAGGGGCAGGUUGUCCCUCCAGGCAGCAUUGGAAAUGUGUGUGUGUUGAGGGGGUCACAGUGACUGUGGGGGCACCCCUGGCAUCUAGUGGGCAUCCCACAAUGUGCAGAACAGUCUCUGACAGCAAAGAAUCGGUCCAUUCAAUGCCAACUGUAGUACCUUUGAGACAUUCUGGCUGAGCCAAUGCCUUCUCCCUGUCAGAGUCCCCCAGAGCAGAGAGGGUCAGGCUUCCGUGGACCUUGGCUCCCAGAGAAAGCCAAAAUAAAGACUACACUGUUGCCUUGGGGGCUUGUCGGGCCAGGGCCAAGACGGUCUGCGUGCUGCAGGGCCAGGACAGAAAUAGCCACACAUGCCGGUGAGAACAAAGAGCCUCUUUCUUUCUCAUGUUGACAUCGACUUUCUGUGCCAAGUCCUUUGGGUAUAAGGAUGCUAGGGAAUUCCUAUAGGCACCAAACAGAAGGAAAGCUAGGGGCUUGGACUACUGGGUAUAGGACUUGCUCUAGCUCUCAGGUCCUAGCCCAAGCUCAAUGCAAACACAGCCCCUCCGGGCUCUCUGUUUCUGUGAGGUUCUGGAAUCCCUUCCUCUGUGUCCGUGAGUCUGACAGAAUCGAUGAUGUUCCCUUAGAGCCGGGAAAUCCAUGUGUUUAUUCACAGAGGGAACUCACCAUUACCUCCCUUGUCUUCUUUGCCUGCCUUGGAGAAAUCCAGAGUCUUCGGAAUGGCAAAGGCAGCUCCUGGAUUUCCCUGGAGGGGAGGCACUAGCUGAGGGAAGUAGCUCCCUUCAUUCAUGAUGCACAGUUUACGCAGCAGACACACAACUGUGCCUACUAUUUGCUCAGUGCCCUGCAAGGUGCUGCCUAACUUUGAUUUGUUAUUUCAGCUCUCUCCAGGAUAGUGCCAAAUGGUGCAAUGGGAAACCUGUUUUGCUGGGGGGCUCUAGAUCACCGGCUCCAGAACUCCCGGCUGCUAGGGUAGCCCCUACCCCCAGCCCCUUGCUCCUGGACAGCAGUGGGUCUCACCUUUAGCCUCUGCCCCCAGUUCUGGUCUGACCCAACAGAGGGGCUCUAUGAUAUUAAGAAGGGGCCCUUCCUGCUCUGUGCCUCAACCUAUUCUCCAUAAUAGGGAGUCUAAUCCUAUUCCUUCCCUGCCUGAUGAGGAUGGUGUGAGGAUGAGGAGGACGGCAUCUCAUUUGGGGUUUUUUGGCAGUGGGCCUCAUUUUAAUCCUUCAGGGCUGCCUGCCAGUAGAUCCAUCCAGCUGCUUCCUUGUAGCCAAGAAUGAGUUCAAUGAAUUGUGAUUCACUGAUUUUAUUGAUUUUGUUUUAAAACAGGGAGACUGGUAUUUUUGAAGCUGCUAUCAUUUUCUAUUUCUUUAUUAAUUUCUUUGUAAUCAUCUUAUUAAAGUUUUCGUAUUUAGUGGGAGAGGGAGCUUUGUUUAAGUUUGGAAUUUGCCUAGGGCAGAAGUUAUAAGGCUUCAUAACCUUUUGUAUGUAUUGCCAAUAUUUGAAACUUGGGAGAUUACGUAUAAAAAAUACCUAGUUUUCUGGGUGGAGGAUGGGGCAUGCUGUCAUCUCAAGUCUGCUGUGGCUCACCCCCACCACCUUUACCCCCUCCCCCGCCCUUCCCAUCCCCCACUGCACUUCACUCAUGUAAGACGUCUGCCCGGUGCUGGUCCAGGCGGGCAUGUGAGUUUGUAGCCUCUGCUCCAAAGGAUGGUUUACACAUUAUUUUUUCAUUACCUUCAGUAUUCCUGUGAAUGGUUCAAGGGAGAAAGUCUUCAUUUACUAAGAUUUGGGUUCUGCCUCCCAAGUGACAAUACAGGGCUGAGAUCCCUCUCAGCUUCUUUGAGAUGUGGCCACCAUAAGCAUCAUCGUUGUAGGGACAGUCUCAUUGCUGUCUUCUAGCAGACAGAAGAGUUAGGUGCCAGAAAGGACAAUCUUGAUGGUGGGUCCCCUCCCUGAAGGACUUUAAGAAGGCAUAAAGGGGUUGGGGUGGAGGGUGGCGUAUGAAGGAGGAGGCCCUUGAUUAGGUCAGUGGUCCCUGGGAGCCAUCGGCGAGAGGCCUCCAGCCGGGUGACAGUCUGGGCUCUCGGGUACUAAUCUUUCUAAUAUGGCAGUGGUUGUGGCACUUCUGACUUGAAUUGAUAAUUCUCAUAUCUAAUAAAACCAAGAAGUACCUCGUUGAUAUCUUAUAGAAAACAAAA
rnacentral:sRNA from 1 species